rnacentral:rRNA from 1 species
GACGAACGCUGGCGGCGUGCUUAACACAUGCAAGUCGAACGGUGAAGCUCCAGCUUGCUGGAGUGGAUCAGUGGCGAACGGGUGAGUAACACGUGAGCAACCUGCCCCUGACUCUGGAAUAAGCGCUGGAAACGGCGUCUAAUACUGGAUACGAGAAGGGUCCGCAUGGGCACUUUCUGGAAAGUUUUUCGGUUGGGGAUGGGCUCGCGGCCUAUCAGCUUGUUGGUGAGGUAAUGGCUCACCAAGGCGACGACGGGUAGCCGGCCUGAGAGGGCGACCGGCCACACUGGGACUGAGACACGGCCCAGAAUCCUACGGGAGGCAGCAGUGGGGAAUAUUGCACAAUGGGCGAAAGCCUGAUGCAGCGACGCCGCGUGAGGGAUGACGGCCUUCGGGUUGUAAACCUCUUUCAGCAGGGAAGAAGCGAAAGUGACGGUACCUGCAGAAGAAGCACCGGCUAACUACGUG